AAGAUUUAAUGAAUGAAGGAAUUCAAAAGACUCAUCAAGGUGCAAAAAUUAAUAAAUCACAAGUAAGGAAUAAAAUAGGCAAUUGCAUAAAAUGAAAAUGAAAUAUCCCACAGUAUUAGAAUAUAAAUAAAGCUUACUUGUGAUGGUAAUGAUGUAUAACAUGUUGCAUAAAGGGAAAAGAAUUUACCUUGAAUAAAGAAUUGACAAUUGAGAGGUAAUUAAGGUCAAAAAGUCUCUCAACAAUGCUAUUAAAGUGAAUGGAUUUCUUAAAAAAGAGUUGCUGCAUAGUAAUGUGCAUGGGCUGUACAAAAACUGCUGUGAAUAGUAAAUUAUACAGAUAU
rnacentral:misc_RNA from 1 species